UUAGCAGGUCUGAUUGAAAUUGCAAUUGUUCCAUCUCCUUUAAACAUGUUUUUAAGCAGAAAUCGAAGAGUUAUGGAUAUAUUAGUUUUGUGCUGGGUGCGUCUGACACCCAGAAGGAAGCGUAUUCGACCGCAUUAAGUAUGUUUGACGCCUAGUUCACAGAGACUUUAGAAGAGUUCGUCUCCUAGCGUACUGGAGUGAGAUAGAAAAACAGCUGACUUGGUGUGAGAAGUGAAAAAGAAAGAGAUAGAGAUAGAUGUGGAUGUAGCGGGAUAAGAAACCGUACUGGAAAAAUGGCGUGGUUCUAGGCGCAUGGUUCUUUGCUUCCAAGCCGAUGGACCACAAAUGGGCUAUACUUGAUAGAGCUUGGAUGCACUAAAAUUAGGUCCGUGCCCAAAGUCAUAUCGUUAAAAUCACUUAUAUUUUGGUUAAUGCUGUUGUAGGGGCUUAACGGGCUGCGACUUUCCGAAUGCCUGCUUCCCGGCUUUUGGUUUCUUGGCGUUCGGUUUGAAUUCUAAUCGGAAUUCAAUUUCAUUAUUCCUUUUUAUUUAUAUUUAUUACUUCUUAUAACGUUAGGCAACAAAAUCAAACUUUGAUUUACGCUUCAGCCAAAUCAACUUUUCCUAAUAGAUUUGGGGCUGUAAAAAUUUAUAAUGAUCUAUGGUUUUUUCAUUAUUUUUAACUUUAUCAAAAUGUUUUUUCAAAGGAAGAUUCACAUAAUUUAAGUAUCUUUCAUCUGGUUGCUUUAAACUAUGCAAUUCUAAAA
rnacentral:sRNA from 1 species